rnacentral:rRNA from 1 species
AGUUUUUUGUAUUUUUAUAAAAAAUGUUUUCUGCUCAAUGGUUUUAAAUAGCCGCGGUAUUUUGACCGUGCAAAGGUAGCAUAAUCAUUUGUUUUGUAAUUGAGGGCUAGAAUGAAUGGAUUUACAAAAUAUAAGCUUUAUUUUAAGAAAUUUUAGAAUUUGUUUUUUAAGUGAAGAAACUUAAAUAAUUGUAUGGGACAAGAAGACCCUUUUGAGCUUUAUUGCUUUGUUUUUUUAUAAUUUUUGGCAAUUUGGUUGGGGAGACCUAGGAAGAAUUAAUCUUCCUUUAUAGAUUAUGAUCCAAAUUUUUUGAUUAAUAGAAUAAGUUACCAAAGGGAUAACAGCGUAAUUUUUUUUGAGAGUUCUUAUUAAAGAUAAAGAUUGCGACCUCGAUGUUGACUUAUAGUUUCCUUUUGGUGUAGCUGCUAAUAAGGUUGGUCUGUUCGACCAUU